ACUUGUUGGAUGUGAGGUGGUAUCAGUUUCAGCGACUACCUCCUAUGUGGAUAAGUCUUUACCUCCGCCAGAUAACAUAUCCUCGCUCUUCCAACUGGAGAAUGGAUGUUCUGGUGUUUUCGUAAUGGUGUUUCUACUUGAUUUACAUCGUAAGCAGUUUUCUUUUUUCCAGGUUAAUCUUGUAAGAACUAAAGAAAACUUACCAAUAUUCGUUCUGCUUGCAAAGAUGAAAAUGUGAAGCUAUCUCCACCUCGACUUAGAUGAGUCUUGAAGAAGUGAUAAGAUAUGUUGCAUCUGAUGAACUUAUUAAGGUAGUUUAUGCUUUAUUCAAUCAAAUUGUCUUUUCCAUCUUCAUUUUCUUUGGAAAUUCUUGCCAAUGUACUCAACUCGUAAUAUUCUGAUGCAAAAACUACACACUUAAUUAUUGCAUUGUGCUAAGACCAUAUUGAAAAAAAAAUGCAGCAAAAU